UGGGGAAUAUUGCACAAUGGGCGCAAGCCUGAUGCAGCCAUGCCGCGUGUAUGAAGAAGGCCUUCGGGUUGUAAAGUACUUUCAGCGGGGAGGAAGGGAGUAAAGUUAAUACCUUUACUCAUUGACGUUACCCGCAGAAGAAGCACCGGCUAACUCCGUGCCAGCAGCCGCGGUAAUACGGAGGGUGCAAGCAUUAAUCGGAAUUACUGGGCGUAAAGCGCACGCAGGCGGUUUGUUAAGUCAGAUGUGAAAUCCCCGGGCUCAACCUGGGAACUGCAUCUGAUACUGGCAGGCUAGAGUCUUGUAGAGGGGGGUAGAAUUCCAGGUGUAGCGGUGAAAUGCGUAGAGAUCUGGAGGAAUACCGGUGGCGAAGGCGGCCCCCUGGACAAAGACUGACGCUCAGGUGCGAAAGCGUGGGGAGCAAACAGG
rnacentral:rRNA from 1 species